CCAGGACGAACGCUGGCGGCGUGCCUAACACAUGCAAGUCGAGCGAGAAAGACAUCUUCGGGUGUUGAGUACAGCGGCGGACGGGUGAGUAACACGUGAACAACCUGCCCUUGAGACUGGGAUAACAUCGGGAAACCGGUGCUAAUACCGGAUACGCUCUAGUUGCCGCAUGGCAGGUAGAGGAAAGGAAUAACUGCUCAAGGAUGGGUUCGCGUCCCAUUAGCUAGUUGGUGGGGUAACGGCCUACCAAGGCGGCGAUGGGUAGCCGGCCUGAGAGGGUGUACGGCCACACUGGGACUGAGACACGGCCCAGACUCCUACGGGAGGCAGCAGUGGGGAAUUUUGCGCAAAUGGGGGGAACCCUGACGCAGCGACGCCGCGUGAGCGAAGAAGGUUUUCGGAUCGUAAAGUUCUGUCACAGGGGACGAUAGUGACGGUACCCUGGGAGGAAGCCCCGGCUAACUACGUGCCAGCCGCCGC
rnacentral:rRNA from 1 species